CUUAUGGAUCAAAUCCACGCUGAUGUCUAACCUGUAAUGAGUGCCAAUGUUUUGACCUUUCAAUAGAGAGCUGAUUUUGGAGAAUGGCUUACUCCUGUGAUUGAAAAACUCUCUGGAAGGUUGAUGGAGCAUGAGCAUGCUUGAUUUUUGGCCCUAAAUCAAAGAGAUAAGUUCUGUCAUUAACAUUAAAGCUGUCUUCAGAAUUUUGUUUAUUUGAACAAAGCAAGAACAAAUGUGUAAGUACCAGCAAAGUGCAGACCAGUAUUGCAAUAUUGGUCUGUUCUGUCUUUAAGCAGGUGGUUUCAUGUGGCAGGCUGGAAGAGAGACUCUUUUUCUUCCCAGCUUUUGACAAAAAGAUGACGCAUAUGACUCAGAAUUAGAAGGGGAAAUCUGCCAGUUUGCAUCAGUUCCUUAACUUGUGGGCUGCUAUUCACCACAAGAAGAAUCAGUAUACUCGCACCAGUGCUUCUUGAGAGAUGAGGAGUAAUCGUUUCCUUCAAAAUGUGUAGGAUGAUUGGAGUAGGCCUUUCAUAUGUUACACUAGGCUUUUCCUAUAUCAAGGUAUUUUUCAAUUAUAUUUAAAGAAUAUAUAUUUAUAGGAAAAAAUUAAAAGAAUAUAUUUUUAGACAGAAAUAAAUUCAUAUUGUUUUAUUAAAUGCCACAUUUAAUAAUUUAUAUAGGAACCAGUUAUUAUAGCUUAAUGUAGAUCCAAAGCAAAGCCAUUUGUUUUGUGAAACCUCUGUUUUGUUGGCACUGAAACUCAGCUGUUAUAGAUCUCCAGAAUCGAAAGGUAAGGGGUUUUUUUUUAUAUUUUUUUUACCUAAUUCUACAUAUCUGAAUCUCCAGUUUCAGCUUUUAAGUACAUUAGUAGGACUGAAAAAAAAAAAAAAAUUAAAACAGUAACUUCGAAGACAGAAGCCAUCUAUUUUGAAGGGGAAGAUAAUUACUUCAAGUAUGGAAGAUCUGUAUUUUCAAAAUGUCUUGCCUCAGACUUAUAAAAGAUAAUGCAGAGAAUUCUGAUUGUUUCAUAUAGGUUUGGAUUACAGUGGAGAGACACUUCUUGCAAUACUGAUGUUGCUCAAAGAGCAUACUGCAUUUUUAUAACUUUUGUCUUAUAACUUAUUUUAAAAAAUUCAGAUGCUAGUUUUCAGAGAUUUAACAUCUUUUAUAUUUGUGGGUAUUUAUUAGUCUGAGAAUAAAAUUUUGGGUUUUUUUUAACUACUUGUGUUACUUUAAGUAUUGGAUUAUAAAUCUUUUUUCUUAAUAUAUUAACAUCUAGUUAAUUCAGUAUGGUUUUACUUUAUAGUUAAUGAAGUAUUGAAAAUCUAACUUAAUAUAAAGCCAUAAGAAGCACACAGCAUCCUUUUUUUUUUUCUUUUCUUUUCUGUUGGAUAAAGUUCCUUUUGUUUGUCAAAACUGUUGUUACUGUUUUUGUAAAGCAUGUUCUAAGUGAAGUUUGUUUUCUAGCUGGAAAAAUGAAAUUCACUGCUUAUCGAUCUGCGUCAGCCUUAGAAAGCACCAUUUUAUUUUGUUUUAGCUCAGUUCUGUGAGUAGUGGGUAUCAUUGAUGGAAAGUGGGGAACCAAACAAGAAAUGUUUUUGAAAGGGAGUGCACAGAUCUGUGUGUUAGAUUAUAUCUAUUAGAAUUAGUAGUAUUCUAGUAAUAUUUCACAGAGAGGUGGGGGAAAGAUUACUGCUCCAGCUACCCACUGAAUAAACAAUAAGGUAAUACAGACCAGGAAUCUGCACCCCAAAGGUACUGUGGACAUCUGAAACUUCUGCUGAAGUGACUAAAUAAUGAAGUUGCAGAAAUAUUGCUUACAGCUAGAAAAGUAGCAGUUACUAGGAGUUGUUCUUCUGCUAUUAACUAGUGGAUUCCCUUAAGCUGAUUUGAUGUCUUCAAACAGGUCAGUCUCACCUUUCAUAAGUCAUGCUGUUGUCUGGCAUUUUAUAGAAGUCAUGUAGUGAUGAUGUUAAGAAAAAGACAAAUUUACUGCCUGAGCCAGAAGGCAGGCUUACAAAAAGCAACUUCUUUCAGGACACGAAAAGCUCUUUGUUCUGUGGCCUUGGUCUUUUUGUGCUUUGACCCUUAUUUUAUAGCAUUGUCACUCUGACCUUAAAUCUUUGAAAGCAGACAAGCAGCAAAUUUAGCCCUUUACAAGUGGGGUUUCGUUCUGAGCUAUGAGCCUGGUUUUUAUCUUUAGGCAUUAUAGUCCCAUACAAUACUGAGAUGUAACAAAAUCUCAAUUUAGGAUUUGUGGUUUGGCAUAGUGUAAAUAGUUAUUAUUUAUAUAUAAGGCAAUUAAAAAAAAAUGUUGCUCUGUUACUGGCCUAUGAUUUGUAAUUAUUUACCAAUUAGAGAUAAGACAGCAACUAGGAAGGCAGUCUGGCUAAUACUGACCAACAUGUUUUUCACUUUCCUAGAAGUACUUUGGAAAUUGAUCCUGUGCUCAGACCCACCAGGAUUUCUGCAAAAGUGACUUGAAUAUUCUGUUGAGGACAAGAAAUGCUUUGCUGUACAUUGUAGAGUUAGGAUUUAAAUAGAAAUAUUUGCAUGGUCUUCUUUCAUAAAAGACUGUGCCAGCUUAGGGAGGACAAAAUUUUACACGAGGCCUGUGACUGUUACAUGAGCAAGUCUUCUGAGACCUUCAUAAAACUAAUUUUUUUUUUUUUUUGUAUGAAAGCAGAAAUUAGUGAAUAUAAUAGAGAACCAAUAGUUUAUAUAUUUUAAAGGUUUUUUAAAAAAAUUUAAUAUGUUUGAAAGGAGAAUCUGUUACCCUGUCUUAAUAACUUUACAUUAUAUAGCUGGUUUGCAUUGUAGAGUUACUGUUGUUUGGAGAGAGAUUGUCACAUUUUCUUUUAUCACUAAUGAUUCUAUAUACUUCAGGUUUUGGGAAGCUUUAGCUGUAAUAAUAGGAUAAACUCUUCUGAAUGUAGUAGUGUAAUAAUCUAAGUCUGCGUUUAUUGGAGAACUUGAAAAUAUUUAUCUUUUUAAUUUUUUUUAAUCUGAAAAUGUGUUAGAAAUUUUUUUUAAUACUCAUACAGAAACUGAGGAUUAUAUUUUAGACAGAUCUGGCUUUCUUUCUGAUGGAUCCACUAUAUUUUGUUUUAAUAAUUUUUGUGAUAAAAUUAGGGAGAAAAGAACAUUUUAAUUACUACUACAAUGAAAUAUAAAACUUACUUUGUAGAACUUAGAAAAUAGCUUCAUUUUUCUUAAUUUUGUAUGUGUCCUUUCAAGCAGAAAGAAUGCUGGUACAGAUUGAAAGUGUUCACACAGUUUUUCUUCCUGUGUGCUUGCCAAAGGUGCAGAGAAGACAGAUUUUUAGAAGUUGUGUGCAGGCUAUACCAGUGCAAAGCUGGAAAGCUUUUCUGAAGUGCAACUUUUACAAACUCUGCUAGAACUUGGAGCUUGUUACACUUUACAAGUUCCCUGUAAAGUGUUUCAUAUAGCAAUCUAGUUAAUGCAUCAACUUCUGACAAAACAUUUCUUAGAAGCUGGGAAAAGAGGUGGGGAGGGGUUAGUCUUAUUCAGUUUUAUUUUUAAGCUACGGUUGAUUCUAAAAUACACUGAUAAUAUACCUAAAAAAUCCCUAUGCAUUGAUAAAUUUUUUGUGUGUGGUAUCAGCUUCCCAUAGUUAUGCUUUUUUUAGCUAGCAAGCUAUAAAAAUUGAUAUACUGUACUUGUUUAAGUCAGAACUAACUACCUUUCUUGCCUUUCACAGAAAUCCACUGCAUUCUAUUUGCUAUUCAUGACUCCAAUAGAAGCAUCAGUAUUGCAGAACUAAGUAACAGUCUUCACUUUGGUUUGUCUUCCUGUGGCAAUCAGCGGGGGGGGUGUUCCUCAUACAAAUUAAUACACGAGUCAAGUUAGUAUAAGCAGUAGUGUGAGUCUUAGAUUAAGUAAAAAGGAUGUAAAAUAGAAUUUUAUGCUGAGAGCCCUUAACUGCACUUCUAAAUUUCCAGGUAUUUUUGUUCUUCUGAAUUUCUCAAUGGUUUUACUUCCUGGUUUUUAUUUUUAGCUGGCUUUGUUAUUUCAUGUUUAUCUUAUGCAGUAGUUCUCCAGCUAGUCUAAAUCUGUUUGUUCAUGAUCCUUGGAGAGAUGGCUGGACACAUGAUAUAGAUUCUCCAAAUUUAGUAGCAGUAAAUUUCAGUAAACAGCAGUCAUCUGCUUUACUUUAGUUAUUAAUACUUCACAUUGCAAAAAAUGAAGUUCUCCCAGUCUUUUGCCAUGGUUAUAUGGGGUGUAUUGCUGACACAAUCAGGAAAUAGUCAACGUGCAAUUUUUUUUAAUGUCAAAGUGUGCUACCAAAACUCUAAAUUAGUGCUAGUUACCUCUGUUCAAAUAUUCAUCUUUUUGUUCAGAUAAUUAUUUAAAUCAUUAUUUGUGUGGGGUUUUAGGUGGAUUUGUUUUGUUUGCUUGUUUGGGUUUUUGGGGGUUUUUUUUGUUUGUUUUUUUUUUUUUACUCAAUUUUAUAAUAGUCUUAAAAAUAUUCAGCUGCUUGCUUGAGGGUAUGGAAGGACCUAUUACACAUGGGGAGUGUGUAUAAGCUUGAUCCUGGAUUACUGCACCUCUUUGAGGUGAAGUGAGGCAAAUUCAUUGUUGUGUUAGAGUUACUUAAUUUUAGAAAAAAAACAAACUCAUGCAAUGAAAUUGCUAGUUUGGAGAAAUAUUUUAUUAUUAUUAUUAUUUAUUUAAUUUUAUUUUUCCUUUUUAGAACUGCAUUCUUAAAAAGUAAUUAAAAAUCUGACUGUUACUUCAGGAGAAGAGCAAUCAAGUUCCAAUACUUUUUUUCAAAGAGCAUUCCUGACUUGUGUAUGUGAACUGCUUCUGUGGAAUUUCUGUUUUGCAUCUUCAGAAUCCUUUUUCCUCAGCAGAGCUCUUACUCUUAGGGACUUGAGAAAUAUAAUGGAGCUGCUUGCAUGAAUGAUUCCCAGCUUUUAUUGAGGUCUCCUUUGUCUGUCUGUCUGUCUCAUCCACAGAUGUAAGACACAAGGAUGGAGGUAGGAGAAGCAUUCUUGGUAACAACUGUAUUGACUUUAUGACCAAAACAUUAUGGUACACAACUUGGUGCAGACACUCCUGGAUUUCAGUACAUUCCUGGCUCAGCUAUCAGUACACUUCUUAUCUUAAACUUCCUCCUUUCAUCCUUUUCCUGUUCUACAACCCCCUCUCUCAUAUAGACUGUGUUCAAUUUAUGUGAUAAUUUGCUUAUUCUCCUUGCAGAUGAUAUCUAUUUUAAUAGCAUGUAGAAAACAUGCAGUCACAUUGUGUUGAAUUUUUGGGUUGGUUGGUUUCUUUUGGAGCAUUUUGUAGUAAAGUUUAAAAAAAAAGAGCAACAAGACACCUUCUAAAAUAAUUUUUAAAAACAAAUAAAACAAAAAAAACCCAAAACAUAAAAACACAACUCAAAACAGCCCAGAAUUUUGUCAUUCAUGCAAGAAUUCAUGUAAUUGUGUUCGUGUUUUGUAUGGGUGGGUGGAAUUACCUGUAAGUUUUCUUACUAAUGUACUUACUGCAGAAACUAGCAUAAUAGUUCUGCCAAGUCUUCAUUUCAUAGUGUGUAUGUAUUUUUAGAGUGGUUUAGUUAUGCAACAGGAAAAAAACCCUCCAUACUUAAGCUAGAACCUGAAAUCAAUCAGGCAAUUGAAAGGAUAGUAUCAGCUGAACACAUGGAAUUCCAAAUGAGGAAUUUGGCCUGAAUGUAAAAAUGAGAAAUGCACUUCCAAAGGUAUUAAAUGUUGCAGGUGUCUUAUUGAAAUAAUUUUCUUUCAAACUUUUAAGGUAAAUCUACAAGUACAAAGCAGUAUUUUUUCUUGCUAGAGAACAUUUUUCAUGUUUUUUUUCUUACUCUUAAAGUUGAAGUAAAUCUCUUACUGCUGGCUAGCAUUUUUGCUCACAUCUAUCUUUAUCUAUGCCUUUCACAUUACAUAUAUAUAUGUAUAUAUGGUGGAGAUUGUCUUUACUUUUUAUUCUCUUGGCUUAUGCCUAGCACAGUUUCUUUAGGGGGGAGACCAACUGUCAUGGCAUACAUUUACAGUAUAGGUUUAUUUUGACUUUGCACUCCUGCUUUAAUUCACCAAUGGUAAGUUGGGUAAGUCGUGCCUAUUUAAUUUAGUUUGCCUAGUUUAGCUGCCUGUUUUUAAAAACAAACAUAGGUAGUAAGAAGUGGGGUGGGGAUAAGUGUGAAUAUAGCUGAGCAUGUUUAAAACAUACCAGAAAUGGUUCUUUGAUGCAGUUCCUAAAGUUAACAUUCCUACCUGAAUAAACUAUAUAAAGUGUUGCUGCUGUUAUCUGUAAAUUUACACCAGCAAUCUCGCUUUAAUUGGCAUAUUUGUGGCAAUGGACUCUUCUAGCAGAUAUUGCCCUGCUGUAUUACUGUAGGAACAAAAAUAAGAAGGGAGGAAAGAAAAACUACCCAAUUUUUCCCCCCUAUGGCUUGCCAAAUCUCUUUUUGUGCUUACAGAUAGCCCUGUUAGUUUCCAGUUGUCUGUCAUGACCUGACUAGAAGGCUUAUUGCAAUGGAGUGGCGUGUUUGGGUCCAUGCUGUAUUUUUCUCUUGCAGGAGAGUCUUUCAUUGAGAUGAUUGAAAUUGCUGCACUGAGAAUGGAAAUUACUUGGGCUCCUUUCCUUUUAAAAGCUGCAUGCAAGAGCUGUGUGGUGAGUCAAAUGUAGACUAAUGGUUAUGUAAAUGUCUCUAAUUUUAGAUACAGAUCUGAAAGUGUGUUUCCUUUUAAGAAUUUAUUUUCUUCACUAUCAUGACUCAGUAUCACUUGCUAAUCUAAUUUUAUUAGCCCUGUUGUAUUUUACCAUUUAAAAUACAUAUACCUUGUUCAAAUAGGUGUUCACAGAGUCAAGUUAAUAUAUCAUAUGCAUGUUUUAAAAGGAGCAGAAGCAGCUUAUCUUCACUCAAGAAUUGCUUUGAUUUUAGCCUUCAUGAGCCUGCUACUGGUGCAGUUGCACACAUACAAACAUGAUGUAGAUGAAUAUGAAUCCAAGUUGUUGUAAUUUGUAAGUUUGCAUUAUUUGACCAUAGUUCAGAAUUUAACACUGUUAAAAAUCACAUCUUGUUUACAACUGCUAUGGAUUUGAACUAGAAAAAUUACUAAUGGCUAAAAUUUCCAAUUUAGUUCAAACCUGAAUAGUUCUCAAUAGCACAGCUAUGCAGAAUUAGCCUACAGCUUUUCACAAAGAACACUUGUGUGCACAUUUACCUACUACAUUUCUCUUAAGAUACAAAGGUUGACUGCCUAUAAAAAAUAUCCUAUCUGGCUCAAAGUUGGAUAGCUUUCUCAUUGAGUUUCUGCAAGUAGCAGUGUAACUGCUAAAUAUUAGAGACCUGCACAUGAACUUCAGCCAUUUGAAGACUUAGAAAUUCUUGGAAAGACCUUAAAUGUUGCUGAUUUUUUCCAGCAUGCUGCAGCCUGGUACUUGCAGCAGGCCACCCAUCCAGUUGCUCUUGUAUAUUUAGUAUUUUAAUGUACCCAGGAUUUUUCCCAGGGACUUUUAUGAGUAGAUGUGAAUUUAAGGAGGUGAUCAGAGACUUGAGAGCAUACAACAAGUAAGUCUAUUUGUGUGGCUUUGUCAAAGUCCAGUGGCCAAACUGCUUGUUCCUGACAACUUCAUUGUGCUCAUGUUGGCCUUUGUGCAAAGAGUGAAACAGACUGUGCUUCCUUCUGGUUCACCAUGCAAACUCCUAUCACUGGCACAAGGGCAGGAAAUAGCAGGGAGCAGGAAGAAGCAGAAGGGCAAAGGUUGGAGCGCCUUGUUCGGUGGCCCUAGCGGCUUAGAAUAGUUCAGUGACAUGGUGAAAACACAGUUUGAGCAUUUGCAGAACCAGAGUUCAACUGAGGAACCAAAGUUCCUGUCAGGAUUAAGAAAACUACUUCAAGUGCUUAUGUAGGCCUACUCAAAUGAUUCUGUUCUUAAACCUUUGAAAAGGAUGUGACAUUUCUUACAUGGUUCACAGGUGGCUUAAUAUUAGCAGUUCAGAGGUUUGCUUGUAUGGGUGGUGCCAGAGACUGUGGCUGGAUCAAACUCAUUUUGUGUUGCAGCUCUGGGGUCCUAAGGACUGUGCCUGAUGUAAGAAAGGAAAGCUCAGUGUUUUUAGUUCAGGUGCUUAUUUUCUGCUAGGUAGGAACUGUAUGGGGAAAAGAUACUUAAUUCACAUAAAAAAAGUGAGAAAAGAUAGGUCUGCUUGAAAAUAAACUAAGACUAAUAGCUGUAUGUGAGUGAAGACAACUAGUGCUAGGAGCAUGUCUAAAAAUGUGAUGUUAAAAGGUUAGGGCUGAGAACAGGUAGAGGAAGGACAGACCUGAUGAACUGGAAAAUCAGAAGGAUUGAAAUACAUUGGGCAAAGAUUUGGGGGUUUGAUUAUUUAUUGAAAUUGGAAGAAGCAGCAUCCUGACAGAGGGGAUCUGGCAUGAAGCAAAGAGAAUCAGUCAGGCUUAGGGAAAGGGACUCAUCCCUCAGAUGAUCCCUCAAUCCUCAGAUGAUUCCUAACAUUCAUUGGAGUGCUUUGCACUUCAGAUCCAGAAGGGAAUGCAGACUGUUUAGUAGCUUUUGCUGUCAUAUAGGAAAUCACUGUCAAUUUCAUCCCCCUCAUCAUAUUCCACAAAGAGGGCAGGCCUAUUACGACCCUGAGCUACUUCAUGGAUUUUGGUCCUGAAAAGAAAUCCCAAAGUAAGUAGUUGAGGUUGUAAGGGAAAGCUCUAGUUCAAACAGGGUCAUUUCUUUAAGGCUUGUCCAGUCAAUUUUGAAUAUAUUCAAGGAUGGAGACUCUGCAUCCUACCCUGUUCAGCUACAAUUUCAUGUAGUUAAUUUCUUACUGGUUGCCUCUUGUCCUGUCUCUGGACACAACUGAGAAGAGCCCUGACUAUGUCUUCUUUACUCUCCCAUACCCCCACCAGCAGGCAUUUAGGAACAUUGCUGAGAUCACACAAACACAAGCCUUUUCUUCUCCAGGCUGGAGUCUCAGCUCACUCAGCCUUUCUUCAUGUGAAAGAUUCUUCAGUUCUCUCAUCGUCUUUGUGGAAGUAAAUAAAAUGCUUCAUCUAAUAAGGGGAAUUAGAAUUCAAAGGAGAAAACGUUUUUUGGGGGGGGGGGAUGAAAAGCCAAAGCACAAGCUAAUAACUGUAAAAAGAACAAGAAGAUCACAAAAUGAAACAUGAAUAAGUUAGAUAACUCCUGCUUUAAGAUUCUGCAAUCUUCAUUUGCCCCCUUGUGUCAGUAUAUUAUGAAGCAAUUUUCAUGAUCACACACAAUGUUUAAUGUAUUGAUAGGGUCAGCCUGUUGUGGUGCUGGGCCAGGGAAGAUGUUUGUGGGCUCUGCAAGCAAGAAGCCUGAUGUUGUUACAGGCGCUUCAGAAACUGGUAAAAAACUCUGUAGCCAAUGGAACAAAUGGCUGCAAAUAGAGGAAACCAUGUCUUCAUGGUUAUAUCAAGUGAGAAUUCCUAAGAAUUUGAUGUGAUGUUUAUUUUUCUGCCUUUAUUCUCACGUGAUGCUGGACAAGUAACCAGGCCAUUGUUUCUGUAAUGCAUAUAUUGUGCUUUACUUUAGAGGUGUCUGAUUUAAGACUCUUGUGAGAGAAACACUGGUGGUUCACAUUGGUAGCUGAGCUUCUUAGGAGUUGUCAUUUGAAUUGAAAUACUCUGUAAAGUUAUGUCUGCUGACAGUCUCCUGUCUUCUUAAAAGGAACUUUAGACUGUUGCAUACUAUGAUAGUUUCUACACCUCCUUGUCACAUUUAAAAUGGGAGUAAUGGACACAUACCUUGAAGGGCUGUUGGCUACUUUGUUUAGUAGCUGUACUUACAGUAAUGCAUGUCCUCAUGAAAUUUUCUAUGGCACUUAGUAAUUCUGAUUUUGGAGGAAGAGGUGAGUACCGUGCAUUUUUUAAAGGCCAGAUCUGCAAUCAACUUAUCAACUGUUAUCAGCUCAGGCUGGGAAGCAGAGUUUCUGUGCUUUUAUUCAUGGUCUAUUUCUGCAGUCCUGUGAACGACAAAAUAUUCUGAUUUGUGUCCUGUCUUGACACUGAUUCAUUUUGCAAAUAUAACUCAUUAUUAAGUACUUGUGUGUGUCAUUUUUUGCUUGUCGUCUUUGUAAGCAACAUCAUCAACAUUCUGCAAAAUCUUCCAUAUACUAAAGGUAAUGUACUUGUUUGAACUUCAGCAUAUUUGACAAUAAAUUUACCUGUGAAGAUCUAUUUUCCAGAAACAAUGAACUAGUUUAAUUGUAACAAUUUCUUAAUGUACAGUGGUAAGCACUGCAUCUCUAAAAAUGUAAAGUGACUUAUACCAAAGUAUUUAGGACUUCUAACAGCCAUUUUCUUCAAAUUUCAAAGGCAGUUUUCUUGAUACUGCCUAUGGCAGGCACACUUUGCUAAGAGUGGUCUGUACUAGAAAUUUGGAUACAGCGAUCUGAAAAUGUUUCAGCUUUUCCCUUAGUCAUGGUAUCUUGUUAAGUAUUGGGGAAAGUCUCUUCUAAUUAGGUAGCUGCAGUAGCAGUUGAAAUUUGAAGUGUUUAGACUUUUCCUUUAUCUUUAUCACAAUCUAUUGUCACAGAAAUCACAAGAAAUUAUAGAAAUACACCCAGAGUGGUGAGCUGAUAAUGUACCACUUUAACAGCAGCAGCAAUUCUUCAUGUGGAAAACAAAGACAUUUAAAAUGUACUUGAAAGAAAACUUAUGUCUCAGAUAUAUGCAAGUCUCCUUUCUAAGGUGGCAGUUGUGUGUAUCACAAUAAAAUAUUCAGCUAUAAAUAAAUAAGGGAAAAAUGAUGAAAAAUGCAAUGGCGUGAGUAACAUUGUUCAUCUUUCUGUGAGUGGGAUAAUAAUCAUCGGAGUACUUUUUUACUCUAAAUAGUUUAUUCUGUUGGAAGUUAUUUAAUGGUCAUCAGGUGCAACUCUUAUUUUUUUCCACAUUUUAUUCACUUAUAGCUGUGUUUGUUAAUAAAUAAAAUUAAAUUUGUUAUAUU